rnacentral:rRNA from 1 species
UGGGGAAUAUUGGACAAUGGGCGAAAGCCUGAUCCAGCCAUGCCGCGUGUGUAAAGAAGGUCUUCGGAUUGUAAAGCACUUUAAGUUGGGAGGAAGGGCAUUAACCUAAUACGUUAGUGUUUUGACGUUACCGACAGAAUAAGCACCGGCUAACUCUGUGCCAGCAGCCGCGGUAAUACAGAGGGUGCAAGCGUUAAUCGGAAUUACUGGGCGUAAAGCGCGCGUAGGUGGUUUGUUAAGUUGGAUGUGAAAGCCCCGGGCUCAACCUGGGAACUGCAUCCAAAACUGGCAAGCUAGAGUACGGUAGAGGGUGGUGGAAUUUCCUGUGUAGCGGUGAAAUGCGUAGAUAUAGGAAGGAACACCAGUGGCGAAGGCGACCACCUGGACUGAUACUGACACUGAGGUGCGAAAGCGUGGGGAGCAAACA